AUGGAUUCACAGGCCCAGGUCCUCAUGUUGCUUCUGCUAUGGGUUUCUGGUACUUGUGGGGACAUUGUGAUAACCCAGUCUCCAUCAUCCCUGGCUGUGUCAGCAGGAGAGAAGGUCUCUAUCAGCUGCAAGUCCAGUCAGAGCCUUUUAUAUAGGAGAAGGAACUACUUGGCCUGGUACCAGCAGAAGCAAGGGCAGUCUCCUAAACUGCUAAUCUACUUGGCAUCCACUAGCAUAUCUGGGGUCCCUGAUCGCUUCAUAGGUAGUGGAUCUGGGACAGAUUUCACUCUCACCAUCAACAAUGUGCAGGAUGAAGACCAGGCCUAUUAUUACUGUCUGCAGUACUACAUUGAUCCACCCACAGUGCUUCAGCCUCAUACAUAA